UGGAAGUAGAAUUUCAUAGAAACUGAGGGGC
rnacentral:piRNA from 1 species